rnacentral:rRNA from 1 species
AUUGAACGCUAGCGGGAUGCCUUACACAUGCAAGUCGAACGGAGUGGCGAACGGGUGAGUAAUGUAUCGGAACGUGCCCGUUAGCGGGGGAUAACUACGCGAAAGCGUAGCUAAUACCGCAUACUAUUGGAGCGGCCGCCAGCGGAUUAGCUAGUUGGUGGGGUAACGGCUCACCAAGGCGACGAUCCGUAGGUGGUUUGAGAGGACGACCGGCCACACUGGGACUGAGACACGGCCCAGACUCCUACGGGAGGCAGCAGUGGGGAAUUUUGGGCAAUGGGGGAAACCCUGAUCGAGCCAUCCCGCGUGUGCGAUGAAGGCCUUCGGGUUGUAAAGCACUUUUGGCAGGAAAGCGGUACCUGCAGAAUAAGCACCGGCUAACUACGUGCCAGCAGCCGCGGUAAUUC